GACGAACGCUGGCGGCGUGCUUAACACAUGCAAGUCGAGGGCAUCUGGGUAGCAAUACACAGGUGACCGGCGAACGGGUGCGUAACACGUGGGUGACCUGCCCUUAGCUCUGGGAUAAGCCUGGGAAACUGGGUCUAAUACCGGAUAUGACUCCAUGACGCAUGUUGUGGGNGGAAAGCCUUGUGCGGCUAGGGAUGGGCCCGCGGCCUAUCAGCUUGUUGGUGGG
rnacentral:rRNA from 1 species